UGGGGAAUCUUCCGCAAUGGACGAAAGUCUGACGGAGCAACGCCGCGUGAGUGAAGACGGCCUUCGGGUUGUAAAGCUCUGUGAUCCGGGACGAAAGAGCCUGAGGUGAAUAGCCUAAGGAAGUGACGGUACCGGAAAAGCAAGCCACGGCUAACUACGUGCCAGCAGCCGCGGUAAUACGUAGGUGGCAAGCGUUGUCCGGAAUUAUUGGGCGUAAAGCGCGCGCAGGCGGCUUCCUAAGUCCAUCUUAAAAGUGCGGGGCUUAACCCCGUGAUGGGAUGGAAACUGGGAAGCUGGAGUAUCGGAGAAGAAAGUGGAAUUCCUAGUGUAGCGGUGAAAUGCGUGGAGAUUAGGAAGAACACCGGUGGCGAAGGCGACUUUCUGGACGAAAACUGACGCUGAGGCGCGAAAGCGUGGGGAGCAAACAGG
rnacentral:rRNA from 1 species